rnacentral:tRNA from 1 species
GUGUUUAUAGUUUAAUUGGAGAAAACAUUAAAUUACGAAUUUAAAGAUUGAAAGUUCAAGUCUUUCUAGACACA